AACUGGGGGAUCGUUUCAGGUGCUCUUUCUUUGUGAAGUCUUACAUACAUGAAAAUACUAAUUAUUUUAGAUUUCUCAACCUAUAUCAUAAUCAGACUGACAAAAAGACUAAAUAAAUAAGCCUAAGUAAAUAAAAGAACUCCAAGCAACACUCACAGUUUGUUUCACA